GAUGAACGCUAGCUACAGGCUUAACACAUGCAAGUCGAGGGGAAACGAUAGAGAAAGCUUGCUUUUUCUAGGCGUCGACCGGCGCACGGGUGAGUAACGCGUAUCCAACCUGCCCAUCACUUGGGGAUAACCUUGCGAAAGUAAGACUAAUACCCAAUGACGUCUCUAGAAGACAUCUGAAGGAGAUUAAAGAUUUAUCGGUGAUGGAUGGGGAUGCGUCUGAUUAGCUUGUUGGCGGGGUAACGGCCCACCAAGGCGACGAUCAGUAGGGGUUCUGAGGAAGGUCCCCCACAUUGGAACUGAGACACGGUCCAAACUCCUACGUGAGGCAGCAGUGAGGAAUAUUGGUCAAUGGGCGAGAGCCUGAACCAGCCAAGUAGCGUGCAGGAUGACGGCCCUAUGGGUUGUAAACUGCUUUUAUAAGGGAAUAAAGUGGGAGUCGUGACUCCUUUUGCAUGUACCUUAUGAAUAAGGACCGGCUAAUUCCGUGCCAGCAGCCGCGGUAAUACGGAAGGUCCGGGCGUUAUCCGGAUUUAUUGGGUUUAAAGGGAGCGUAGGCCGGAGAUUAAGCGUGUUGUGAAAUGUAGACGCUCAACGUCUGCACUGCAGCGCGAACUGGUUUCCUUGAGUACGCACAAAGUGGGCGGAAUUCGUGGUGUAGCGGUGAAAUGCUUAGAUAUCACGAAGAACUCCGAUUGCGAAGGCAGCUCACUGGAGCGCAACUGACGCUGA
rnacentral:rRNA from 2 species